UAUGGCCUUCACUCAAUCUUCAUGAUCUUCAACAAAGACUUGUCAGGUUGAAUUACUAUUUUAUCUUAAGAUAAAAAGAUUUUAAAUGAUAUUGUUACAAAAUUGCACUUGUCUUAGUCCAAUGUGCACUUAAAAUCUUGUAGAGGAUGGCAUUACAGUUUGUGGUUUCUAUCUUUUUUAAUCUCCCAAGGUAUCGGUUCAUUCAGAAAAUAAAAUGUCAAAGAAAAGGAAUGAUGAUUCAAAUCUCGACAAUGUUUAAAACUCCAUCUUUUAAUCGACAACUUUAUGUUCCACCCCAAAAAUAAAAAGAAAAGAAAAAGAUUAAUCUGCUUGAAAUCUUGUCAGUAUUAAAAGGUUGUCUGCGAAUCUCCCCAUUUACAAAUGUCUCUGAGUCUGUUCCACUCCAAAAAUAAAAAGAAAAGAAAAAGAAUCUGCUUGAAAUCUUGUCCGCAUUAAAAGGUUGUCUACAAAUCUCGCCAUUUACCAAGUUUCUGAGUCUGUUCCACUCCAGAAAUUAAAAGAAAGAAAAAGAAUCUGCUUGAAAUCUCAUCAGUAUUAAAAACUUCGUCUUUUAAUCUCCCCAUUUUCAAUGUCUGUUCCACUUCAAAAAUAAAAGAAAAGAAUUUAAGGAAUCUGUUUCAAAUCUCAAAAGAAUUUAAAAGUUGUGCUUGGUGUACUAUACAAUUCCAUGUCUUAGAAAUCAAUAUUAUAACAUGAGAAAAAGUUUUAUCUACAUUUAAACACAACUUUCCUCUUUCUUUCAUGACACUAACACAUUGAGAGAACAAAUACAAAAAUUUCUAGAUUAAACAGAUAAAAACUUAAUAAAAG
rnacentral:lncRNA from 1 species